UUGGAGAAGCAAAAGGCAUCAUAGAAAGGCCACCUAGAUCCAGUUCAGUCCCUUUUGCCAUGAAAGGACCACUGAAUCCAGCACCCAAAGCACACACACACUCUCAGUGGCCAAGAAUUUCUCUCCUCUCAAGCAAAUUCCCAAGGUCGGCAGUUUUGAGUCCCUCUCAGAAGCGUCUCGUCAGUUGACAUCUAGCUCCAUGCUUACCGAGGUCGCCUUCCAAACAAACACAACCAGAGAGUCUCCUAGAGAAGAACAUAGAUGCCAGCUGUUAAGAU
rnacentral:lncRNA from 1 species